UUCAUCAGUGCCACAUCAGUGGAGUAUCCCAAUGUUGCUCAUUAUGAUACCAGCCUGGACUUCUCACUGAUCAGCACUUUGGGACUUAGGGUGAGUAUCAGACAAGUUCUCCUGGUGGAUGACCCUCCUGAUGGCAAAUGUAGAACUGAUUCUGAGCACUCUUGGGAGAAAUGCCUGGAAGGUGAGGCAAGACAUCUUCUACUCUAAAUGCAGUGCUGCUUGGAGCUAUUAUUCCACUGCAACAUUGCUUCAUCCUCUGCUAUCUGCUCAGCCAUCCUCCAUCUGAUAUGGCUAAGGAUUUUAAGACCAAAUGCAGCUGCUUCAACAGGUGAUCACUGCAGUUCACAAACUAGAAUACUACUUGAACCUGGACCAGAGUUUAUUCUGCUGCUCUAAUGGGCUGGAAACAGCAGUGGCCCAAAUGACUUCACUGGUGAGCAUCCAGAUGUUCACCUUAAAGGUGGUGAUCUCCAGGAGAGGACUGGGAAAGAGUGGGUGACACUAUGCCUUCAACACUGGGACAACACUGUUGCUUCAGCCUCCCUAUGGAAAAGUAUGAUUGUCUAAAAAAGUCAACUAUUCAAUUGAACUCUACUCCCACUUAACAAUAAUACCUUAUUACACAUUACCAACUAUUUUUAUGCUUCUUUAUCUCGUUUACAAGACCUUUGCUGGUUUCCCAAUUGGUUAAGAAAAUCAUAUUGCUUCAAUAGCCAAGGUAGCUACUUUCCAUCUAAGUCUGGUCUUGGUCCUAGGACACAGAUUUUGAGUUUAGACAUCUCUGUUGUUAUCCACACCUUGCUCACCUUGUUGUACUGCAGUGUGACCUUAAUGAUGUUUCCUCUUUCAAACUUGGAAAAGUGAAAAUGGAUUUGAUUUUCAGUCAUAGCAUUUCCUUGAAACUCCUUGACCUUAAUAAAUUGUCUGUUGGACUCUAAAUGACAUUUAACAGCCUAAUCUCUGACCUGAAUAAUGUGAGAGCUGCCUGUUUGGAAAAAUUACUCUUUUUUCAUGGGAUACUGUUAUUGCAUCUGCCAAAGGUGCUACUCCGUGUGGAGCCCUGAAAAAUGCAAGAAAGGAAAUUAUGGUGGAUGUCUUAUUCCAUGACUUAAGUUCCAGGACACCCCCAUAUUUAAAAAAAAAACUACAUGGGAUUUUUUAGACCACUGCAAUGAAUAUUGUUAGACACCAAAUUAAAUCUUGUUGAACCUGGUUCAGCCAUUUCCCCUCAAUGAAGAGGCAAAGCAAUCCUUUUCCUGUAGGUAAAAGGAAUUUGAUGGGUUUUUAUUUGAAGCUUGAAUGGAUGCUGGGCACUUCAGUUAGAAAAGGAGUGAGAUGCUGAUAGAGGAAGACCAAAAAAAAUUAGAGUUGCUUAUGGCACAGAAAUAGGUACAAAACCAGGCUUAGCCCUAAACCAAAAGACAGUGGGGAGGAUAUUACUUGAUUACUCCUCUGCUCAAAAAAAAUAAACCCAGAUUUUCUGUGUUAUUGCAAGUAAAUAAACCCGAACAAACUAA